UGGGGAAUAUUGCACAAUGGGGGAAACCCUGAUGCAGCAACGCCGCGUGAAGGAUGAAGGUUUUCGGAUCGUAAACUUCUAUCAACAGGGACGAAACAAAUGACGGUACCUGAAUAAGAAGCCCCGGCUAACUACGUGCCAGCAGCCGCGGUAAUACGUAGGGGGCAAGCGUUAUCCGGAAUUACUGGGUGUAAAGGGAGCGUAGGCGGCACGUCAAGCCAGAUGUGAAAGCCCGGGGCUUAACCCCGUGGAUGCUUUUGAAACUGGCGAGCUAGAGUACAGGAGAGGAAAGCGGAAUUCCUAGUGUAGCGGUGAAAUGCGUAGAUAUUAGGAAGAACACCAGUGGCGAAGGCGGCUUUCUGGACUGAAACUGACGCUGAGGCUCGAAAGCGUGGGGAGCAAACAGGAUUGAUACCC
rnacentral:rRNA from 1 species